rnacentral:rRNA from 1 species
GAUGAACGCUGGCGGCGUGCUUAACACAUGCAAGUCGAACGAAGCAUUUGCGACAGAUUUUUUCGGAAUGAAGUUGCUUAUGACUGAGUUGCGGACGGGUGAGUAACGCGUGGGUAACCUGCCUUGUACUGGGGGAUAGCAGCUGGAAACGGCUGGUAAUACCGCAUAAGCGCACAAUGUUGCAUGACAUGGUGUGAAAAACUCCGGUGGUAUAAGAUGGACCCGCGUCUGAUUAGCUAGUUGGUGAGAUAACAGCCCACCAAGGCGACGAUCAGUAGCCGACCUGAGAGGGUGACCGGCCACAUUGGGACUGAGACACGGCCCAGACUCCUACGGGAGGAAGCAGUGGGGAAUAUUGCACAAUGGAGGAAACUCUGAUGCAGCGACGCCGCGUGAGUGAAGAAGUAAUUCGUUAUGUAAAGCUCUAUCAGCAGGGAAGAUAGUGACGGUACCUGACUAAGAAGCUCCGGCUAAAUACGUG